rnacentral:rRNA from 1 species
UACGAAGGGGGCUAGCGUUGCUCGGAAUCACUGGGCGUAAAGGGUGCGUAGGCGGGUUUUUAAGUCAGAGGUGAAAUCCUGGAGCUCAACUCCAGAACUGCCUUUGAUACUGAAAGUCUUGAGUAUGGGAGAGGUGAGUGGAACUGCGAGUGUAGAGGUGAAAUUCGUAGAUAUUCGCAAGAACACCAGUGGCGAAGGCGGCUCACUGGCCCAUUACUGACGCUGAGGUGCGAAAGCGUGGGGAGCAAACAGGG